UGAGCCAAAACGAGUCUUGACCAACCCUAAUGCCGAAAAUGACGGACUAGCCUCGGAUCAAAAUUCCCGUGACAGUCCAAUACGUGGCACUGCAUCACCUCUCAAUGAUGAUAUACCAGUUUACAGCAAGGUUAACAAGACCUGUCAUCGAGACAGCGUAGAAGAGUGACUUUGAACUUGUCUUCUUUCCCAUCUUGGUUGUGCUUCCGCGCAUUUCGCUGCCGGGACAAAACACGUGAAUGCACCUCUCUUCACAGUGCCGCCAUGAACCCAUCCUCAAUGGACAUCUCAGCAUUAUGCACCACCGCCUGUUCCUCUUUAUCCAGACUUUUAUUAGUAUGUUGUUGUCAUGUAAGCAAUGCUCCUCUCAUCUCACUCUCGUGUUCAAUUUACCCGACUCUUCCUAGUGACGGUCAGUGGAGCCGUGUCUUCAUUGUCCGUGUUCGGUCGUUCCUGGACUAACGAUCUAACUAAGGAUUAGGCACUUAACGUCCAAGAAGCGAGAGAGGAAGAAAAUGGAAGACAGAGAGAGAAAAGAGAAAUUCAUAGCCUUCUGUUUGAGCUGCGAGACUGCUCGAAAUGAUGGUCACUCCAGUGUUGGCUGCGUUCGUGUUCCCAGCUCUGGAUGGACAGUAUCUACUUGCCUUACCCCUCCCUGCUCUCCUUUUUUGUAUUACCUCUCAAUUGUUUCGCCUUGUCCCUGUUGUAAUUUGCGAUCAUCUUGCUUACUUAAAGUCAAACAGUGAGGUUUUUGUUCUAUAUACUUCUUUCGGUGACACAAUCUCUCUACCUUAUUGGUUGAAUAAUGCAUGCUACUUGGUUGGUGGAUUUCUCGGCUGAGUGUACCGUCUUCGUGAUCCACCAAGGCCAAGGUGCGGCAACUUGGUUCCUUGCAAUGCCUGCAUAAAACGCUUUCAUUUCACCCUUUUGUGCUCUUCCCUUUGCUUCCGUCUGCUGGACAGCAAAAAAACCUCUCUCUUUCCAACAUGUCUUGUCGGAUUUUGCUUGCUGCAAAAUGCAUCCCAAUUCUUUUACAUGAUUUUUUGCUGUGUGUCUCAUGCAUGACCGGUUUAAGGUUUGAAAUC